rnacentral:rRNA from 1 species
CGAAACCUACGGGAGGCAGCAGUGGGGAAUAUUGCACAAUGGGGGAAACCCUGAUGCAGCAACGCCGCGUGGGUGAAGGAGCGUUUCGGCGCGUAAAGCCCUGUCAGCGGGGAAGAAGAAAGACGGUACCCGACCAAGAAGCCCCGGCUAACUACGUGCCAGCAGCCGCGGUAAUACGUAGGGGGCGAGCGUUAUCCGGAUUUACUGGGUGUAAAGGGAGCGUAGGCGGCCUGGCAAGCCUGAUGUGAAAUACCGGGGCCCAACCCCGGGGCUGCAUUGGGAACUGCCAGGCUGGAGUGCCGGAG